UCCAGUUUGAUAACUGACUUAGCAAAGUCAAGUUAUUAAUUUAUAUGCGAUAGAAAUAGUAUUUCUAUUAUUUACUUGAAGUCGUGAUUAAUUUUCGACUUAUAAAACGAAUUAUAAAAUAUGUAAUUCGUAGAGAGUUAUAACGAAGCGUCGUUAUUUAGUAGAACCCAAUAUUAGUUUUACAAAUACUUGUAACUUCAAUACUUUACAAAUCAUUAUUUUUCCACUCCCUAAUGUUUCCUACACUAUAUACGCAUCCACUCCACCAAAUUACAUCAUACCUACCUCCCCACCACUACUUUACUUUUCCCCCACCACAUUAGUGCACCACCAUCUCCACUACCUAUGCUCCCCACCAACUUCAAAAAAAAAAAAACUUCACCCAUUCCUUCCAUUUCGCACCAGCAAUCACAAAGAGAAGGAAGACUUGGCUUAACUAUUUUGCCAAGAUUUCAAGCUGCUCCAGUCCAGUAGUACCCCAACACUCCGGCAGUGUUUUGCAAGGCGAUUUCAGCAAUCCCAACGGUUCCCAAAAAUUCUCAAAUUAAUUGUGUAUCAUCUUUCAUAUGUUUUCUAUACUUUGGUAAAAUUUCAGAAGGUUUGAAGCUCUUAUGAUUUAUUUAUGAAUUUGUAAACAUCACUGCCCAUCUGGAAUACAUUUUUGGUAAACAAUCUUUGGGAGGCCAUAAGUAAAGUUUCAAUCGGUGAAAACCUUUGAAACUUGAAUAUGUCACUCUAGACUCCCGUAUCUUUCUUUUGAAAUCGGCCUCACCAUUUUUGAGUAAGGGAAACAACCGGUAUAAAUUCUUGAAAUCUAGUUCUUAUUCCUUGUACCAUCCAGUAGAUUUUACAAACCUACGACUUUGAGGUGGCAAAUACCGACUUAAAUAUUUGAUUCUCAAGCCUAUCUUUCUACUAAAUAUUCACUGACAUGUUGGGAACUUACUUGUUCAGUUUUAGAAUUUUUGGUGAAGCCUAAAGUGGUUUUUCCGAUUUAUGUUCUGAAUCUGCCAAACUUGAACUCUUUUUGUGCACUGAACUUUAGAUAGUCAUAUCUUCUAAACCAUGAAUGUUCUUAGAGUAAAUCCAACUGGAGAGUGUUAUGAUCUCUCCCUAGUUUCCAGAUUGACCCUUGGGGUUCCCAGUGGAGUUUUGUAAAGGGAGAUAUGAAUUUUUAAAGAAAGCCCACUGACUUGGUUGUAAUCUGGAAAUCUGAAAUUUUCAGAUUUUUGCUAGUUAAAUACCCAUCUUUGAGAGGGCAUAUCUUGCUCGUUUGAAUUGUUUUUCAUUCGAUUCAAAUUGGAGAAUGAUCCUUGAAAUGUCUAGUUUCCAGAAUAUCUUUUGGAGCCUCAUUUGGAGAUCCGAGGCAGAUUUGGUGUCUGUUGCAAAACAACCUCUUAAGAGCUCAAGUUGUUGAAUUAUUUUCUAUGUAUCAAAGUUUAUUUUAAAGGAUGUUUCAUGAAAGAUUUAGUAUAUGUGCGUAACAAGUUUGGGACUAUUUAUUUUAAAUGAGGUCCGUUCUUUAUUUAAAUUAUGAUGGACUUUUAAUGAAUAUUUUUGGGAUUAAACUCUUAUUUCUUGAUUUAUAUAAAUUAUUUUUUUAAGGACUUAUAAAUAUGAAUUUCGUAGGCCUACUGACCUACUGUGAUCGACGGUUUGUCGAUGUCUAAUAGCUUUGAAAAUUUUAUAGCAAGUCCCGACAUGAGUCUUGAGUACCCUGGUAAAAUUUCAAGCCAUUCCAACUUCGUUUGAUACUUCUUUAAAAUGCAAAACCUAAACUGCACAUUACUACCGAGAAUUUCAGAGAACAGAUGAAAGAGUCAUUUAUUUCAGUAGCUUCCUGUGUGAUCUAGCUUUCCAAAUUUUUAUGGUAUUCACCUUAUUGUGUUAGCUAGAUAUCCACCAAAGUUGAGCCCAGUUUGACAACGUUUACUAUUUUUAAAAAAUCCAAGUUUUCGAUUGUUCAAAACUGCCGAACAUGGUAGAUCGUGGUAAAAACGUCAUAUCUCUCAAACCACUUGGAGUUUUCGACUCUACUUUUUUUUAUAUGAAACUAGAUUCGAAGAUCUUUCUUUCAGUAUGAGUCUCGAGUCCAGGAGAUGUCGGAGUCAGAACAGAUUAAAUUUUGAAGUUGAGUCAGUGUAAAAACAGAGCAUGUUUUAAUGAUGUUUUUGGACUUCGGACUUUAAAGCGAACUAUUAUCAUUUAUUUCUUUAAAGUCACUGGUUUAUUUAAUUAAUUGGCUACUCUCUUUUGAGCCUAUUAAUUAUUUGAGGUUACGCUAGUAAUGAUGUAACGAAUUAUGGAUGCUAGAACCCUAAAACACUAAAAGAUACCCUAGGCACGUAGAAUUAGACUUUGUCUUAUGACAAUUACUUCACGAACUUAUCGACUCUUCAUCAAUGAAGGUCCGGGCGACAGAAAGUGAAGCCGAAGAAGAAACGACUCCACGCCAGCUUUAAGAACAAUUGAGGUUGAGUUGUGAUGGGCGAUGAAGUGUUGCUGAGUGGAGUUUUUGUUGAACUUAAAGUAGGCUCAGAAAGGAUACAUGUCUUCAUACAUGUAUCUCAGUUAUGCUUUCCGCUGUAAACACUGAUUUUUUUAGUUACACCUUCCGUUGCAAACUCUGAUAAUGUUUUAGCCAAGCCCCUAACGAUGCCUUUUUCCUUUUUAAGGAAUAUUUCACGCGUA